rnacentral:tRNA from 1 species
ACCUGGGUGGCUCAGUUGGUUGAGCAUCUGAUUUUGGCUCAGGUCAUGAUCUCAUGGUCUGUGAGGUCGAGCCCCGCAUCAGGUU